rnacentral:rRNA from 1 species
AGAAUUGAUCUUGGUCAGGAUGAACGCUAGCGGCAGGCUUAACACAUGCAAGUCGAGGGGCAUCGGGAGUAGCAAUACUGCCGGCGACCGGCGCAAGGGUGCGUAACGCGUGAGCAACAUGCCCGUAUCAGGGGGAUAAUCCAUGGAAACGUGGUCUAAUACCCCAUAGUAAUUAUGUAAGGCAUCUUAUAUAAUUUAAAGCUUUGGUGGAUACGGAUUGGCUCGCGUGACAUUAGCUAGAUGGUAAGGUAACGGCUUACCAUGGCUACGAUGUCUAGGGGUUCUGAGAGGAAGGUCCCCCACACUGGAACUGAGACACGGUCCAGACUCCUACGGGAGGCAGCAGUGAGGAAUAUUGGACAAUGGAUGGAAAUCUGAUCCAGCCAUGCCGCGUGCAGGAAGACGGCCCUAUGGGUUGUAAACUGCUUUUGUAUGGGAGCAAUAAGGGCUACGUGUAGUCCGAUGAGAGUACCAUACGAAUAAGCACCGGCUAACUCCGUGCCAGCCGCCGC